UGUUGCUUUUUGAAAUAUUAUAUUCACUCAUCUUUCUUUUGUUUUAAUAAAGGGCUUUCCAGGUCAACCUUAUGGCAGUGACUGUGGUGUCUUUAUGUUAAUGGUAAGAUUGUUUUUGUUGUUUUGCCUCAAUGAUUUUUCCUGUAUAGUCUGCAUUUUACAUGGUGAUGGAUUCCUCAUUUGAUUACACAAUUGUGAGUACUUGUUUACACAAAUAUUGAGUCUGUGUGAUUUAAAUAUUCAAAGAUGUAUUAACUUGCAUGUUAUGAGCAGCUGAACAUGCCAGAACUGCGGAAAUGGUGGUGUGUGAUGUUAAUGGAGAACUAUGGGCUGGACAGGUACAGUAUUUCUUUUAAUUUUUAUGGAUAUAAAUAAAUAAUGGAACAUUGUUUAAUAUUAUCACUUUUUACAGCCAUGGAAAGGUUUUUGCACACUUCACUGAGGAGUCUAAAGCCGCACUAAGGGGUGAUUGGCAGUCUGUUUUGAGACUAAGGUAAAGGGAGAUAGAGGACACCUUUCAGGAGGAGACACAACAUUGGGUUCAAGAAUCAUCAUCACAGGCAGAUGAUGCAAGUAUGAAUACACUGCAUCCUGUGUUGGAGGAUGUACUACUUGAAUCAUCACUUGAAAGAGAGAGUUUUAAAGGAAGCCAGCAGCAAGUGGUGUUUGGAGCAGCCAAGUGUGCUGCUUGGUUCUGUUCAGCUGCCCAAAGUACUCUGUUUGGAGGAUGAAGAUGUUGAUGAGGCCUUGGACAAAUUACAGAAGGCUGAAUUUUCAGAGGACAGAAUGGUUGUUCUGGAACCUUUCAGCUUUUUCUUCACUGAGAUGAAGGACAUGAACUUGUUCCUUGAACAUGUAAUUGAUGAGUCAUUUAUCACCUGUUGGUUACCAUUAAUAAAGCACUAAUUGUCGGAGAUUUUAACAUUCACGUUGAUAAUACAAAUGAUGCAUUAGGACUUGCGUUUACUGACUUAAUAAACUCUUUUGGAGUCAAGCAAAAUGUCACAGAGC